rnacentral:rRNA from 1 species
AGCAGCCGCGGUAAUUCCAGCUCCAAUAGCGUAUAUUAAAGUUGUUGCAGUUAAAAAGCUCGUAGUUGAAUUUCGAGACCGGCUUACUGGUCGUGCUUUUGUACGUACUGGUGUAAUCGGUUUCUCCUUUCUGACGAACUAUAAUGCCAUUAAUUUGGUGUUAUAGGGAAUUAGGACUGUUACUUUGAAAAAAUUAGAGUGUUUAAAGCAGGCUCACGCUUGAAUACAUUAGCAUGGAAUAACGGAAUAGGACGUUUGAUUCUAUUUUGUUGGUUUCUAGGAUCGACGUAAUGAUUAAUAGGGAUAGUUGGGGGCAUUAGUAUUCAAUUGUCAGAGGUGAAAAUUCUUGGAUUUAUUGAAGACUAACUACUGCGAAAGCAUUUGCCAAGGAUGUUUUCAUUAAUCAAGAACGAAAGUUAGGGGAUCGAAGACGAUCAGAUACCGUCGUAGUCUUAACCAUAAACUAU